rnacentral:tRNA from 1 species
UAAAUUGUAGCCAAAUGUUAAGGCGCUUAGCUGUUAACUAAGAGAAAGUGGGAUAGAUACCCUCCAAUUUAG